AUGAUGGCAUUUUCUCAAAAGGAAAAAAAACAAUUGCGCAAAGGGAAUAUAAUCCAGGCCGAGCAUAUGCGCUGUGCCAAAAGUUGCAGAAUUAAUGAAGUACAGUACGACGCUAAGCAAAAGCAGAGUGAUAUUAGGAUCAAAGAAGUCGAUGUCCGCCUAGUUUCCCUUGACCUCAUGGAGUACUGGGCAUCAGGGUUCCUUCUUCACUUUCAUCAUUUCCUUCUUGUCCUCACAUUUGUACUUGUUGGCAUCACUCACCAUUCGAUCGAUCUCUUCUUUGCUCAGCCCACCCUGGUCGCUGGUGAUGGUGAUGCUGUUCUUGUUUCCAGUCUCCCUGUCCUCCGCCACCACCUUCAGGAUGCCGUUUGCUUCGAUUUCGAAAGUAACUCUGAUUUAUGGCACGCCCCUCGGCGCUGGGGGGACGCCAGUGAGCUUGAACAUGCCGAGCAGAUUGUUGUCCUUGGUCAACCCCGCUUCACCCUCGUACACUGGAAAGCGCACGACGGUCUGAUUGUCAUAUACCUGGUCGUGUAA
rnacentral:rRNA from 1 species